GGGCCAGACUCCUACGGGAGGCAGCAGUGAGGAAUAUUGGUCAAUGGGCGGAAGCCUGAACCAGCCAAGUCGCGUGAGGGAAGAAGGCCCUGCGGGUCGCAGACCUCUUUGGACGGGGAGCAAGGCCGCCGACGUGUCGGCGGAAGGAGAGUACCCGAAGAAAAAGCAUCGGCUAACUCCGUGCCAGCAGCCGCGGUAAUACGGAGGAUGCGAGCGUUAUCCGGAUUUAUUGGGUUUAAAGGGUGCGCAGGCGGAGGUGCAAGUCAGCGGUCAAAUUGCGGGGCUCAACCCCGUACUGCCGUUGAAACUGCCGGGCUAGAGUGGGCGAGAAGUGCGCGGAAUGCGUGGUGUAGCGGUGAAAUGCAUAGAUAUCACGCAGAACUCCGAUUGCGAAGGCAGCGCACCGGCGCCCUACUGACGCUCAGGCACGAAAGCGUGGGUAUCGAACAGGAUUAGAUACCCCUGUA
rnacentral:rRNA from 1 species